UGUUCUCCCCGGUUCGCCCCCAAUCAUCGUCCCCAUCUCCGACCUGAGUCGUCCGCCAUGGCUGUUUCACCAGAAGCUUUCCGCCAUGGUCUGGUUCAAAGGAUCUGGUGUCCCAUGGGCUUGAGCCCAGUUCCAUCGAUUCGGCCCGACGCCGAUGCACGCCCAGCAUCUGUCCACCGCAGGCCAGCAUUUGCUUCUUCCCGGAUAGGAUCACGAAGUGUUGAUGUGAG